UCUGUUAAUUAUUGAUGUGCCAGAUUUGCAGCUUCAUGAAAAAUCACCCAGUGUAUUUUACCAAGAGCAGGAAUACUGUCCCAGGUUACCACCACAUAACUACCAAAUCAGGAAACAUACAAUUUUUUACAUGGAAGUACCAACUAUAGACCUAUUUCACUUCAACACCUGCUUCAGCUGGGAUAAGAAUGUUUUUUUUCAUGUGAGCCCAAUUUUCCUUUUCUGCAGAAACUCUUCCUGAGACUCAUUCUCAGUUUUCACAGCCUUGACAGAUAUAAAGAGCAAUGAUAACUCCAAGCUGUGUCUAUCUGGAAUAUUUUUUCUGAACAGACGCAGACCUUACAUUCCUGGCUGUGACACAUUGGCAUGGUGUUAUUCUCUCCUCAGUGCAGCCCACUUGGAAGAGUACAGAUCCGUCCUGCCACCACUGCUGAUCUCACUUGGAGGGAAACAUGAUUGUUUUACUUGCUAUAAUUUGCAAGAGGCAACAAAUGGUGACAUUUUUAGUGAAGAACCAGCCAAAUGUACAUGCUGUUGACAAUUUCGAGAAGAACAGCCCACAUGCUUGCCACACAUCAUAACUUGCCAAGUAUAGUCAGCCUUCUCCUUGAAGAAAAUAUUAGAGUCUUUUCUCAGGAUAUGUUUGGACAAACAGCAGACGAUUAUGCUGUUUGUUGUGAUUUGAUAAGGCAGUCUUACUGCUAUUUUGUAGAACGUGGGAUUAUGCUGGAAAUGUCUGUUUUGAGAUUCUCCACAGAAAGUGUUUGCAAACCGCUGAAUGCACACCUCCUGGAUAUUUAUGAGGUGUGUAUACUCACUGAGGCUCUAAAUGAGUGGCCAUAUAAAAUAGAUUUCUUAUUACUCCCCACGUGUUCAUUAUUCACUGAGGCUUUUAAUGAGUAGUCAUACAAAAUAGAUUCUUGACUAUUCCUGAGGUGCGUAUUAUUCACUGAGGAUCUGAAUGAGUCAAUAUAUGAAAUAGACUUCUAACUAUUCCCAAUUUGUGUAUUUCUCACUGAGGCUCUGAAUGAGUGGCAAUAUGAAAUAGACACCUGACUAUUUCCCAGGUGUGUAUUAUUCACUGAGGCUCUGAAUGAGUGGCCUCUUGAAAUAGGCUCCUGGCUACUAAAUAGGUAUGUAUUAUUCACUCAGGCUCUGAAUGAGUGGCCAUAUGAAAUCGAAUUUUAACUAUUCCCCAGGUGUGUAUCAUUCAGUGAGGCUCUGAAUGAGUAGGCAUAUUAAAUAGAUUCCUGACUAUUCCCCAGGUGUGCAUUUACUGAGGCUCUGAAUGUGUGGCCAUUUGAAAUAGACUACUGACUAUUCCUCAGGUGUGUGUUAUUCACUGUGGCUCUGAAUGAGUCCAAAUACUAGUCUCCUGACUAUUCCCCAGGUGUGUAUUAUUCACUAAGGCUUUGAACAAGUGGCCAUAUAAGUAGAUUCCUGACUAUUCCAGAGCUGUGUAUGAUUCACUGAGAUUCUGAAUGAGAAACCAUAAGAAAUAGACUCCUGGUUACUCCACAGGCAUGCAUUAUUCACUGAGGCACUGAAUGAGUGGCCAUACAAAAUAGACUCCUGACACUUCCCUAGAUGUAUAUUAAUCAGUGAGGCUCAGAAUAAGAGGCCACAUAAAAUUUACUCCUGUCUAUUCCGCUGGUGUGCAUUAAGUAAGGCUCUAAAUUAGUGGUCAUAGGCAACAAAAAAAUCCUGACUAUUCCCCAGGUGUGUAUUAUUCAGUGAGGCUCUGAAUGAGUGGCCAUAUGAAGGAGGCUCCUGACCAUUACCUUGGUGUGCAUUAAUCACUGAGGGUCUGAAUGAUUGUCCAUGUGAAAUAGACUCCUGAGUACUCUCCAUGUGUGCAUUAUUCACUGAGGCUCUGAGUGGCCAUAUGAAAUAGAAUCUUUAUAAUUCCCCAGGUGUGUAUUAUUCACUGAGACUCUGAAUGAGUGGUCUUAUGCAAUAGACUCCCUACUAUUCCCCAGGUGUGUAUAAAUCAGUGAGGGUCUGAGUGAGUGGGCAUAUGAAAUAGAAUCCUAACUAUUACCCAGGUGUGCAUUAUUCUCUGAGGCUCUGGCUGCAUGACCAAUUGAAAUACACUUCUUACUAUUCUCCAGGUUUAUGUUAUUCACUGAGGCUGUGAAUGAGUGCCUAUAUAAAAUAGACUUCUCACUAUUUCUCAGGUGUGUAUUAUUCACCCAUCUGCUGAAUGAGUGGCCAUAUGAAAUCGACUCCUAUUUUCCAAGUGUAUUACCAACUGAACCUCUGAAUGAGUGGGCAUACAAAAUAGACUCCUGGUUAUUCCACAGGUGUGCAUUAUUCAUCGAGGCUCUGAAUGAGUGGCCCUAUGAAAUAGACUCCUUACUAUUCUCCAGUUGUGUAUUAUUUACUGAGGCUCUGGAUCAGUGGUUUUAUGAAAUACACUCCUGACUAUUCCCCAGGCGUGCAUUAUUCAUUGACACUCUGAAUGUUUGGCUAUUUCAAAUAGACUCAUGAAUAUUCCCCAGAUGUGUGAGAUUCUCUGUGGUUCUGAAUGAGUCACCAUUUGAAAUAGUCUCUUGCCUACACCGCAGGUGUGUAUUUUACUGAGUCUCUGAAUGAGUGGCCAUAUAAAGUAGAUUCCUGACUAUUUGAGAGGUGUGUCUUCUUCACUAGACUCUGAAUGAGUGAUCAUAUGAAAUAGACUACUGGUUACUCCACAGGUGUGCAUUAUUCACUGAGGCUCUGAAUGAGUGUCCAUAUGAAAUAGACUCCUCACUAUUCCCCAGUUGUGUAUUAUUCACUGAGGCUCUGAAUGAGUGGCCAUAUGAGAUAGACUCCAGACUAUUCCCCAGGCAUGCAUUAUUCAGUAAGGCUCUGGAUGAGUGGUCAUACAAAAUAGAAUCCUCACCAUUCCCCAGGUGUGUGUUAUUCCCUGAGGCUCUGAAUGAGUGGCUAUGUGAAAUAGACUCCUGACUACUCCACAGUUGUUUAUUAUUCAGUAAAGCAAUGAAUGAGAGGCCAUAUGAAGUAGACUCUUGGUUACUCCAAAGGUGUACAUUAUUCACUGAGGCUCUGAAUGAGGGCCAUAUGAAGUAGACUCCAGAUUAGUCUCCAGCUGUGCAUUAUACAAUGAGGCUCUGAAUGAGUGGCCAUAUGAAAUAGAUUCUUGAGUAUUCCCCAGGUGUGUAUUAUUCUGUGAGGCUCAGAAAGAGUGAUGAUAUAGACUCCAGACUAUCCCCAAGGUGAUAGUUUAUUAUUCAGUGAGACUCUUAAUGAGUGGUAUAUGAAAUAGACUUCUGACUACCCCAGAGGUGUUCAUUAUUCAUUGAACCUCUGACAGAGAGGCAAUAUAAAAUAGAUUCCUGACUAUUCCCCAGGUGUGCAUUAUUCACUGAGGCUCUGAAUUUGUGGUCAUAUGAAAAAGAUCCCUGACCAUUCCUGAAGUAUGUAUUAUUCAGUGAGAAUCUGAAUGAUUUUCCAUAUGAAAUAGUCUCCUGACUACACCACAGGUGUGCAUUAUUCAGUGAAGCUCGGCAUGAGUGAUGACAUGAAAUAGAAUCCUGACUCUUCCCCAGGUGUUCUUUAUUCCUUGAGGCUCUGAAUCAGUGGCCAUAUGAAAUAGACUCCUGACUAUUCCCCAGAUAUGCAUUUUUCAGUGACACUCUGAAUUAGUUGCCAUAUGAAAUAGUCUUGUGACUAUUCCCCAGGUGUGCAUUAUUCAGUGAAUCUCUAAAUGCCUGGUUAUAAGAAAUAGAGUCCCGACUAGUCCCCAGUUGUGCAUUACAGUGAGGAUCUGAAUGAGUGGCCAUAUGAAAUAGGCUCCUAGGUUCUCCCCAGGCAUGCUUUAUUCACUAAGGCUCUGAAUGAGUGGCCUUAUGAAAUAGAUUCCUGACUAUCCCCUAGAUGUGUAAUAUUAAGUCAGUCUCUGAAGCAAUAUCUAAGUGAAAUAGGCUCCUGACAACUCCACAAGUGUUCAUUAUUCAGUGAAGCUCUGAAUGAGAGGCCAGAUGAAAUAGAUUCCUGAGUAUACCCCAGGUGUGCAUUAUUCAGCGAGUCUCUGAAUGAAUGGCCACAUGAAAUAAUCUCUUCACAAUUCCCCAGGUGUGCAUUAAUCAGUGAGGCUCUGAAUGAGGAGUCAUGUGAAAUAGACUCCUGAGUAUUCCCCAGUUGUGUGUUACUCACUGAGGCUCUGGUCAUGUAAAAUAGACGCCUGAUGGGAGAUCCAAGAUGGCUGAUUGCUAACAGCUCGGGAUUGUAGCUCCCAGUGAAAGCAUAGAGAACGAGAGGACACCACACUUUCAGAUGAAUUUUCAUUGCUCACGGACUAGAAGAUUUCCAGUGGAGGAGCCCCACAGGUCACCAGCGUGACUCUUGUGGCCAGCACAGCAGUUUUGCUGGUGCCUUGGUGCGGCAGAUCUUCAUGCAGAGUAAACAGAACUGGUUCCCCUACUGACCGGUGUUUGGAGCUCCAGGAAGGCACAGCCACUUGUUACGGACUCAAGAAAAAAGCCAGACCAGAGAUUCCUGGGCAGAAGAGCACCAUCAGUCUUAUCGCUGCUAUUUUGGCCAGCACAGUGGGUUGCUCGGAUCCCAGCACUGGGAAUCAAUAAAUUGGACGUCCACUCAGAAACCUAAUUGGAAAGGCGGUAAUUGUAAAGACGACAGAUAGAUAAAUUUAUAAUAAAGGGAAGAAACCAGCCUAAAAAGGCCGAGAAUACCCAAAAUCAGAACCCCUCUUCCCCUACAGGGAAGCCUAUUAGACUUACAGCAGAUCUCUCAGUGGAAACCCUACAAGCCAGAAGAGAGUGGGGGCCAAUAUUCAACAUCCUUAAAGAACAGAACUUUCAGCCCUGAAUUUCAUAUCCUGCCAAACUAAGCUUCACAAUUGAAGGAAAAAUAAAAUCCUUUAUGAACAAGCAAGUACUCAGAGAUUUUAUUACCACCAGGCCUGCUUUACAAGAACUUCUGAAAGAACCAUUACACAUAGAAAGGAACAGCCUUUCCAAAAAUAUACCAAAAAGUAAAGAGCAUCAACAUAAAGAAGAAUUUACAUCAACGAAUGGAUAAAAUAGCCAGUUAACAUCAAAUGGCAGUAAACCUAAAUUUAAAUUGACUGAAUCCCCCAAUCAAAAGAUACAGCCAAAACCUAAUGGUAUGCUACAUCCAGACCCAUUUUAUAUCCAAAGAUACACAAAGACUCAAAACAAAGAGUUGGAGAAAAAUUUACCAACCAAAUGGAGAGCAAAAAUAAAUAAAUAAACAAAAAGCAGGAAUUGCAAUUCUCGAAUUUGAUAGAAUAGAUUUCAAAGCAACAAAGAUACAGUGGUAAAAGGAUCAAUGCAGCAAUGAGAGCUAAUGAUCCUAACACCCAGAUACAUGGGACACAUAAAGAGAUUUAGACUCAACAAGACAGAAAAUUAAUAAGGAUGUCCAGAACUUGAACACAGAUCUGGAACAAGUAAACUUAAUAAAUAUUUAUAGAGCUCUGCACUUUAAAUACACAAAAUAUUGAUUGACCAUUAUUAAUCCCCAUUUUUAGAAUAAAGCAAUAUUCCUGUUCUCUCUCCCUCUUUUUCUUCUUCUUUCUUCCUCUCCUUUUUUUCUUUCAAAAAAAAAAAAAGAAAAAUAAAUAAAUUCAGAGAUUACACGUGCCCAGUGGGGCCCUGGGUGUCAGGGAGAGAGCUGCAGAGGUGACAAAAUCAAUGUCUGGGCCAGGCACGGUGGCUCAUGCCUGUAAUCCCAGCACUCUGGGAGGCAGAGGGAAGGGGAUUACUUGAGGUCAGGGGUUCAAGACCAGCCUGGCCAACAUGGUGAAAGCCCGUCUCUAAAAAAAGAAAAUAAAUAAAUAAAUAAAUAAAAUAGACUCCUGACUAUCCCCCAGGUGUGUCUUAUUCACUGAGCCUCUGAAUGAAUGGCUAUAUGAAAUAUAUUCCCGACUACUCCAGAGGUGUUCCUUAUUGAGUGAAGCUCUAAAUGAGAUGCCAUAUGAUAUAGACUCCUGGAUACUCCACAGGUGUACAUUAUUCCCUGAGGCUCUGACUGAGGGCCAUUUGAAAUAGACUCCAGAUUAGUCUUCAGCUUUGCAUUAUUCAAUGAGGCUCUCAAUGAGUGGCCAAAUGAAAGAGACUCCUGACAAUUCCUCAGGUGUGUAUUACUCAGUGAGGCUCGGAAUCAGUGGCUAUAUAAAACAGACUCCUGACUGCGCCACAGGUGUUCAUUAUUCAAUGAAGCUCUAAAUGGGAGGCUAUAUGAAAUAGACUCCUGGCUAUUCCGCAGGUGUGCAUUAUUCACUGAGUCUCUGAAUGAGUAGCCAUAUGAAAUAGAAUCCAAAAGAUUCGCCCAGGUGUGUAUUAUUCAGUGAGGUUCUGAAUGAAUGUUAUAUGAAAUAGACUUUUGACUAUUCCACAGGUGUUCAUAAUUCAGUGAAGCUCUAAAUGAGAGACAAUAUGAAAUGGACUCCUGACUAUUGCCCAGCUGUGCAUUAUUCAGUGAGGUGCUAAAGGAGUGGUCAUAUGAAAGAAACUCCUGAUUGUUCUGCAGGUGUUCAUUUUUCACUGAGGCUCUGAAUAAGUGGCCAUAUGAAAUAGAUUCCUGAAUAUCCCCUAGGUGUGUAUUAUUAAGUCAGGCUCUGAAUGAGUGGCUAUGUGAAAUAGGCUCCUGACUCUCCACUGGUGUUUAUUAUUCAGUGUAGUUCUAAAUGACAGGCCAGACUAAUUGGAUUCCUAAGUAUUCCCCAGGUGUGCACUUUUACCUGAGGCUCUGUAUGUGUGGCCAUAUGAAAUAGACUCCUGACUAUUCCAGAAGUGUGCAUUAUUCAUUGAGGUUCUGAAUUGGUGGCCAUAUAAAACAAACUCUUGCAUACUCCCCACGUGUGCAUUAUUUACACAGGCUCUUAAUGAGUGGUCAUACCAGAUAGACUCCUGACUCUUCCCCAGGGGUGUAUUAUUUACUUAGGCUCUGAAUGAGUGCCCAUAUGAAAUAGAAUCUUGACUAUUCCCCAGGUGUGUAUUAUUCAUUGGGGCAUUGAUUGAGUGGCCAAAUGAAAUAGAUUCCUGACUUUUUAUUGGUAUGUACUUUAUUUUUUAUUGCAUUUUAGGUUUUGGGGUACAUGUGAAGAACAUGCAAGAUUGUUGCAUAAGUACACCCGUGGCAGUGUGAAUUGCUGCCUUCCUCCCCUUCACUUAUAUCUGGCAUUUCUCCCCAUGCUAUCUCUCCUCAACUCCCCACCCCCCACAGUCCCUCCACUAUUUUCCACUAACAGACCCCAGUGUGUCGUGCUCCCCUGCCUGUGUCCAUGUGUUCUCAUUGUUCAACACCCACCUAUGAGAGAGAACACUCAGUGUUUAAUUUCCUGUUCUUGUGUCAAUUUGCUGAGAAUGAUGGUCUCCAGGUUCAUCCAUGUCCCUACAAAGGAUACGAACUUGUCAUUUUUGAUGGCUGCAUAAUAUUCCAUAAUGUAUAUGUGCCAAAAUUUCCCUGUCCAGUCUAUCAUCAAUGAGCAUUUGUGUUGCUUCCAGGUCUUUUCUAUUGUAAACUGUGCUGCAGUGAACAUUGGUAUGUAUGUGUCCUUGUAGAAAAAUAAUUUAUAACCCUUUGAAUAUAUACCCAGUAAUGGAAUUGCUGGGUCAAAUGGAAUUUCUAUUUCUCGGUCCUUGAGGACUUGCCACACUGUCUUCCACAAUGGUUGGACUAAUUUACACUCCCACCAACACUGUAAAAGUGUUUCGAUUUCUCCACAUUCUCUCCAGAAUCUGUCAUCUCCAAAUUUUUUAAUGUUCACCAUUCUAACUGGAAUGAGAUGGUAUCUCAAUGUAGUUUUGAUUUGCAUUUUUCUAAUAAUGAUGGUUGAUGAGCAUUUUUUCAUAUGUUUGUUGGCCUCACAUAUGUCUUCUUUUGCAAAGUGUCUGUUCAUAUCCUGCACCCACUUUUGAAUGGGUUUUUUUUGGUUUUUUUCUUGUAAAUCUGUUUGAAUUCUUUGUAAAUUCUGGAUAUCAGCCCUUUGUCAGAUGAGUAAACUGCAAAAAUUUUUUCCCAUUCUGUUGGUUGCUGAUUCACUCUAAUGACUGUUUCUUUUGCCAUGAAGAAGCUGUGGAGUUUGAUUAGGUCCCAUUUGUCUAUUUUGGCUUUUUUUGCCAAUGCCUUUAGUGUUUUGGUCAUAAAGUCCUUGCCUAUGCCUAUGCACUGAAUGGUUUUGCCUAGAUUUUCUUCUAGGGUUUGUAUGGUGCCAGGUCUUAUGUUUAAGUCUUUAAUUUAUCUGGAGUUAAUUUUAGUGUAAGGUGUCAGGAAGGGGUCCAGUUUCUUCUUUCUGCACAUGGCUAGCCAGUUUUCCCAACACCAUUUAUUAAACAGAAAAUCUUUUCCCAUUGCUUGUUUUUGUCAGGUUUGUCAAAGAUCAGAUGGUGGUAGAUAUGUUGUGUUGCCUCUGAGGCUUCUGUUCUGUUCUGUUAGUCUAUAUCUCUGUUUUGGUAUUAGUCCAUGCUGUUUUGAUUACUGUAGCCCCAUAGUAUAGUUUGAAGUCGGGUAGUGUGAUGCCUCCUGCUUUGUUAUUUUUGCUUAUAAUCGACUUGGCUAUGUGGGCUCUCUUUUGGUUCCAUAUGAAGUUUAAAGUUUUUUUUUUUUCAGUUCUGUGAAGAGGGUCAUUGGUAGCUUGAUGGGGAUAGCACUGAAUCUGUAAAUUACUUUGGGCAGUAUCGUCAUUUUCACUAUUGAAUCUUUUUAACCAUGAAAAUGGAAUAUUUCUCUAUUUGUGUCCUCUCUAUUUAAUUGAGCAUUGAUUUCAAGUUCUCCUUGAAGAAGUCCUUUACGUUCCUUGUUAGUUGUAUUCCUAGGUAUUUUAUUCUCUUUGUAGCAAUUGUGAACGGCAGUUUGUUCUUGAUUUGGUUCUCUUUAAGUCUGUUAUUGAUGUAUAGGAAUGCUUGUGAUUUUUGCACAUUCAUUUUGUAUCUUGAGACUUUGCUGAAGUUGCUUAUCAGUUUCAGAAAAUUUUGGGCUGAGACGAUGGCGUCUUCUAGGUAAACAAUCACGUCGUCUGCAAAUAAAGACAAUUUGGCUUCCUCCUUUCCUAGUUGAAUACCCUUUAUUUCUUUUUCUUAUCUGAUUGCUCUGUCUAGAACUUCCAGUACUAUAUUGAAUAGGAGUGGUGAGAGAGGGCAGGCUUGUCUAGUGCCAUAUUUCAAAGGGAACGCUUCCAGUUUUUGUACAUUCAGUAUGAUAUUGGCUGUUGGUUUGCCAUAAAUAGCUUUUAUUAUUUUGAAAUACGUUCUGUCAAUACCUAGAUUAUUGAGGAUUUUUAGCAUAAAGUGCUGUUGAAUAUUGUCAAAGGCCUUCUCUACAUUAAUUGAGAUAAUCAUGUGGUUUAUUUCUUUGGUUCUGUUUUUGUGGUGAAUUACAUUUAUAGACUUACAUAUGUUGAACCAGUUUUGCAUUUCCAGGAUGAAUCCUACUUGAUCAUGAUGAGUAGGCUUUUUGAUGUGCUGUUGCAAUCACCUUGCCAGUAUUUUAUUAAAGAUUUUUGAAUCUACGUUAAUCAUGGAUAUUAGCUUUAAGUUUUCUUUUCUUGUUGAGUCUCUGCCAGGUUUUGGUAUCAGGAUGAUGUUGGUCUCAUAAAAUGACUUGAGAAAGAUUCCCUCUUUUUUGAUUAUUUUGAGUAGUUUCAGAGAAAUGGUAACAGCUCCUCUUUGUGUGUCUGGUAGAAUUCAGCUGUGAACCCAUCUGGACCUGGGUGUAUUUUGUGUGGCAGGCUCUUAAUUGCUGCCUCAACUUCAGACCUUGUUAUCGGUCUAUUCAGGGUUUCAACUUCUUCCUGGUUUAGGCUUGGGAGAAGGCAAGUGUCCAGGAAUUUAUCCAUUUUUUUCCAGGUUUACUGGUUUAUGUGCAUAGACUUGUUUGUAAUAAUCUCUGAUGAUGGUUUGAUUUUUUGUGGAAUCUGUGGUGAUAGUAUUUUUAUCAUUUUAUUAUUGCAUCUUUUUGGUUAUUCUCUCUUUUCUUUUUUAAAAAAAUCUGGCUAGUGGUCUGUCUAUUUUGUGGAUCUUUUUGAAAAACCAGCUCCUGGAUUUAUUGAUCUUUUGAAGGGAUUUUUUUGUGCCUCUAUCUCAUUCAGUUCUGCUCUGAUCUUAGUUAUUUCUUGUCUUCUGCUAGGUUUUGAGUUUUUUUGAUCUUGCUCCUCUAUUUCUUUCAAUUUUGAUGAGAGGGUGUCAAUUUAGAUCUCUCCUUGCUUCUCAUGUGGGCACUUAUUGCUAUGCAUUUUCCUCUAGAGACUGCUUAAAAAGUGUCCCAGAGAUUCUGGUAUGUUGUGUCUUCGUUCUUAUUGGUUUCAAAGAAUAUCUUUAUUUCUGCCUUUAUUUCAUUGUUUAUCCAGUCAACAUUCAAGAGCCAGUUGUGCAGUUUCCAUGAAGCCGUGUGGUUCUGAGUUAGCUUCUGAAUUCUGAGUUAUAACUUGAUUGCACUGUGGUCUGAAAGAUGGUUUGCUAUACCUUCCAUUAUUUUGCAUUUGCUGAGGAGUGAUUUCCUUCCAAUUAUGUGGUCAAUUUUAGAGUGGGUUUGAUAUGCUGCUGAGAAGAAUGUAUAUGCUGUGGAUCUGAAGUGGAGAGUUCUGUAAAUGUCUAUUAGGUUGGCUUGUUCCAGGUCUGAUUUUUAGUCCUGGAUAUCCUUGUUAAUUUUCUGUAUGGUUUAUCUGUCUAAUAUUGACAAUGGGGUGUUAACGUCUCCCACUGUUUUUGUGUGGAAGUCUAAGUCUCUUUUUAAGUCAUUAAAAACUUGCCUUAUGUAUCUGGGUGCUCCUGUAUUGGGUGCGUAUAUAUUUAGGAUUGUUAACUCUUCUUGUUGCAUUGAUACUUUUACCAUUAUGUAAUGUCCUUCUUUGUCUCUUUUGAUCUUUGUUGCUUUAAAAUAUAUUUUAUCAGAGUCGAGAGUUGCAAAACCUUGUUUUUGCCUCCAUUUGCUUGGUAAGUCUUCCUCCAUCACUUUAUUUUGAGCCUUUGUGUAUCCUUGCAUGUGAGAUGGGUUUCCUGGAUACAGCACACAGAGGGGUUUUGGCUUUUUAUCCAAUUUGCCAGUCUCUGUCUUUUGAUUGGGGCAUUUAGCCCAUUUACAUUUAGGAUUAAUAUUGUUAUGUGUGAAUUCAAACCUGCCAUUUUGACGCUAUCUGGCUGUUUUGCCCAUUACUUGAUGCAGAUUCUUCAUUUUUUUUAAUGCUUUUUCCAUUUGGUAUGUUUUUGGAGUGGCUGGUACCGGUUGUUCCUUGCCAUGUGUAGUGCCUCCUUCAGGAGCUUUUGUAAAGCAGGCAUAGUGGUGGCAAAAUUUCCGAGUACUUGGUUGUUCACAAAGGAUUUUAUUUUUCCUUCACUUAUAAAUCUUAGUUUGGCUGGAUAUAAAAUUCUGGGUUUAAAGUUCUUUUCUUUAAGGAUUUUGAAUAUUGGCCCCCACUCUCUUCUGGCUUGUAGGGUUUCUGCUGAGAGAUCUGCUAUGAGUGUGAUGGGCUUCCCUUUGUGGGUAACCCAAUCUUUCUCUCUGGCUGCCCUUAGCAUUUCUCUUUCAUUUCAACCCUGGUGAAUCUGACAACUAUGUGCCUUAAAGUUGCUCUUCUUGAGAAAUAUUUUUAUGGUGUUCUCUAUAUUUCCUGGACUUGAACAUUGGCCUGCCUUACUAGGUUAAAGAAGUUUUCCUUGAUAAUAACCUGAAGAGUAUUUUCCAGCUUGGAUUCAUUCGCUUUGUUAUAUUCAGAUACACCUAUCAAACUAGAUUAUGUCUUUUUACAUAGUCCCAUAUUUCUUGGAUACUUUGUUUAUUCCUAUUUGUGCUUUUUUCUCUAAUCUUGCCUUCUCAUUUUCUUUCAUUGAGUUGAUCCUCGAUAUCUGAUAUUCUUUCUUCUGCUUGGUCAAUUCAGCUGUUAAAAUUUGUGCAUGCUUUGUGAAGUUCUCAUGUUGUGUUUUUCAGCUCCGUCAAUUCACUUAUGUUUUUCUCUAAGUUGUCCAUUCUUGUUAGCAUUUCAUCAAAUCUUUUUUACAAGGUUCUUAGUUUCUUUGCAUUGAGUUAGAACAUGUUCUUUUAGCUCACAGAAGUUUCUCAUUACCCACCUUCUGAAGCCUGAUACCGUCAUUUUAUCACACUCAUUCUCCAUCCAGCCUUGUUUCCUUGCUGAUGAGGAGUUGUGAUUUUUUGUAGGAGGAGAUGUGUUCUGGUUUCCGGUGUUUUCCUCCUUUUUGCACUGGUUUCUUCUUAUCUUUGUGGAUUUAUCCACCUGUCAUCUUUUUAGUUGCUGACUUUCAGAUUGUGUCUCUGAGUGGACAUCCAGUUUGUUGAUGAUGAAGUUAUUUCUGUUUCUUAGUUUUUCUUCUAAUAGUCUGGCCCCUCUGCUGUAGGAGUUCUGAGGUACACUCCAUACCCGGCUUUCCUGGGGAUUACCUGCAGCAGCUACAGAACAGAAAGGAUUGCUACCAGUUUCUUCUGCUAUCUUUGUCCCAGAAUGAUACCCACCAAAUGUCAGUCUGAUCUCUCCUUUAUGAGGUGACUCUUUGUAUAUAUGGGGGUCAGAAACCUGCUUGAGGAGACAAUUUGUUAUUGAUAAAAGCUCAAGUGCUGAUCUGCGAGCUCCAUUGUUUAUUCAGAGCUUCUGGGCAGUUACAUUUAAGUCUGCAGCAGAACAAAUAAACCCCCGUUUUUCCCCAGGUGUUCUGUCCUGAGAAGUUAGGACUUUAUUUAUGAGUUUCUGUGGUGCUGCUGCCUUUUUUCAGGGCUGUUCUGCCCAGCUAGGAGGCAGCCUACUCACUUUUUGCCUGCAGAGGCUUUGCUAAGAUGCUGUGGGCUCUGCCCAGCUGCCAUGUGAACUUCCCUGCAGUCCUGUUUAUAUGGGUGUAGUUAGAACUACCUUGGCAAUGGUGGCCCACCUCUAUAAUGGCAGACUCUCUCUGUAAUGGCGGGUUGCCUCAGCAAUGGCAGGCUGCCUCAGCAAUGGCAGACUACCUCUGUAGUGUUGGAGUGCCUCGGUAAUGGCAGAUGCCCUUCCCCACAGAGCUGGACUGUCCUUGGUUCAGCUGUGCUUGCUGUGAAACUCUCAACCCAAAGUGUUUCCAAAUGCUGUUUUUUGUUUUGUAGAGGGGUGGGACCAGCCGAGCCUAAUCAGCUGGCUCCUGCCUUAGAGGUUUUUUUUUUU